UACGUAGGGUGCGAGCGUUGUCCGGAAUUAUUGGGCGUAAAGAGCUCGUAGGCGGUUUGUUACGUCUAUCGUGAAAACCUGCAGCUUAACUGUGGGCUUGCGGUGGAUACGGGCAGACUUGAGUUCGGUAGGGGAGACUGGAAUUCCUGGUGUAGCGGUGAAAUGCGCAGAUAUCGGGAAGAACACCCGUGGCGAAGGCGGCUCUCUGGGACGGUACUGACGCUGAGACGCGAAAGCGUGGGGAGCGAACAGG
rnacentral:rRNA from 1 species